ACAAAUGCAAGGCAGGCAGGAGUUACCUGGUUGAUGGAAAUGACCGCCAGCCGGGGUAUGACCACUUGGAGGAUGACCUGCAGCAGCGAGGUGCCCAGGCCGGCCAGGAUGGCCCAGGUGAGCGGCAGCGGCAGCAUACUGUAGGUGGCGAAGAGCGUGAAGAGCACGUAGCCUAUGCCGUCGCCCAGGAGCCCGUAGCCGAGGCCUGCUGCCAGGAUCUGGGUGGUCAUGGCCACCCAGGUGACCACGCCGCUGUACUGCAGCUCUGUGACCUUGGCCAUGUCACUUAACUUCCCUCCGCUUCAAUGUCUUCAUCUACAAACCAGGAAUAAUAGUAUAUAUCACAAAAUGUAUCUAAGAUACAAAUGAGACACUGUGAAGUCCUUGGCACAGGGCAAUGAAAUAUGAACAGAAGCAUCAUGUGUCACCUCCUGGAGAAGCUGUGUGAGCCUGUGUGCAGCGGUCCAUCUUCCCUUGCCACUGUGGCACUGUCUGAGGAAUCAGGCAUCAAAAAGGAGCCUCUGUCUUCUUCAGUCCCUGAGAACAACAAAGAGCAGAUUCCCCCUCAAACCUUGGUUAAACAGGUUACAUGAACUUAUAAAAGAAGUAGAACACACAUGCUUCCCAUUAGGUGAGAAAGAAACAUGCCUGAGAGUCUAAUGGAUUACUCAAGUCUGUGCUGCCAAGGAAGAACAGAAUCUUUAGAUAUCAUGUGUUUUACAAAUUGAAGUUUGUGGAAACCCUGCAUCAAACAAGUCUAUUGGUGACAUUUUCCCAACAGCAUUUGCUCACUUUGUGUUUCUGUGUCACAUGUUGAUAAUUCUUACAAUAUUUGAAACCUUUUUUAUUAUUAUACAUGUUCUGGUGAUCUGUGAUCAGUGAUCUUUGAUGUUACUACUGUAAUUUUUUUGGAUGCUGUGAACUGUGCCCAUAUAAAAUGGUGAAUUAAAUCAAUA
rnacentral:lncRNA from 10 species